UACGUAGGGUGCGAGCGUUGUCCGGAAUUAUUGGGCGUAAAGAGCUUGUAGGCGGUCUGUCGCGUCUGCUGUGAAAAUCCGGGGCUCAACCCCGGACUUGCAGUGGGUACGGGCAGACUAGAGUGUGGUAGGGGAGACUGGAAUUCCUGGUGUAGCGGUGAAAUGCGCAGAUAUCAGGAGGAACACCGAGUGGCGAAGGCAGGUCUC
rnacentral:rRNA from 1 species